rnacentral:rRNA from 1 species
GAUGAACGCUGGCGGCGUGCCUAAUACAUGCAAGUCGAGCGAACAGACCAGCUUUUUCCUUCUCUGUUGUUAGCGGCGGACGGGUGAGUAACACGUGGAUAAUCUACCUAUAAGACUGGGAUAGCUUCGAGAAACCGGAGCUAAUACCGGAUGAUAUUUUGAACCGCAGGGUUCAACCGUUAAAGACGGUCGUGCUUUCACUUAUAGAUGGAUCCGCGCUGCCUUAGCUAGUUGGUGAGGUAACGGCUUCCCAAGGCAACGAUGCCUAGCGGACCUCCGAGGGUGAGCGGCGACGCUGGAACUGAGACAGGGUCCAGACUCCGACGGGAGGGAGCAGUAGGGAAGCGUACGCUAGGGGCGAGAGCGUAACGGAGCAGCGGCGCGGGAGUGAUGAAGGUCUUCGGAUCGUAAAACUCUGUUAUUAGGGAAGAACAGAUGUGUAAGUAACUGGGCACAUCUUGACGGUACCGAAACAGAAAGCCCCGGCUAACUACGUG